rnacentral:lncRNA from 10 species
CUUGUCUCUAUCCCAGGACAUGAGCAUCUGGCAACAGAAGAGAUGAGAAGGUCAUAUGAGCUGCAUUUCAGAGGCGGUCCUGUGCCAUACCAUGGAGAAAGGAAUGCUGCACAGAGGCCAAGAUGAAAUCUCCACCGACAGACCUUGCUGGAUUUUCCCACUCAGUCUGUGACUAUUAGAUUAUACCCCUUUGUCCAAUUGCAUUUGUACACAGUUGUUCAUGCUUCAGUCAUGCCUAUUCAAUGAAAUUUCCAUAGAAGGCCCAAGAGGAAAGAGUUUGAAGAGCUUCCAGAAAACGGAACAUGUGGAGGUUCCUGGAAGAUAGCAAGGCCGGAGAGAACAUUGAAGCUUUGUGAGCCUUCCCUCAUACCUUUCCCUAUGCAUCUCUUCAUCUGCACCCUUUGGAAUAUCUUUUGUAAUAAACCCGUUUCCUGGAGUUCAGUAAGCUGCUCUAACAAGUUUAUCAAACCCAAGGAGGGGGUUGUGGGAAUACCAAUUUACAGGCGGUUGGUUAGAAGCACAAGUUAAACAACCUGGGGCUUGUGAUUGACAUUGGAAGUGGGGGCAGUCUUGUGCGACUGGGCCUGUGGAAUCUGAUGCUAUCCCCAGAGAAAUAGUCAGAAGACAAAUGGAGGACAGCAAGCUGGUGUUGGCUGAAUAAUUGAUUGCUUGCUUGCUGGUAGGGAGAGAUCCCUACACAUCUUGUCAUAUAAGUCUUAUGUUGAUUGCUGUGAUGUGAGAGCAGAGGAAAAACAGCUGGAGUUGUU